GUUGAGGUCAAAGGUUGAUGACCAACCGUGGAAGGUUAAGCAAAGAGUUGAACAAAGCAAUGUUUGAUCUGAAAAAGGUUUUAAAAGUUCAGUCUCAGGAGGAAAAGUUUGGUCACUUCUCCACAUACACUCCAGGGCUCCCCAAUUCUGGCUGAUAAAACACACAGGAGGAGGGAAGAAACAUCAGGCAAUUGGUUUACAUUCACCAGGUAUAAUUUGUAGGCCUUUUAACUGAGAAUAACUUUCAACAUAACCAAAGGAAGGAACUGGUCAUGGCCACUUCCCCUUAAUUCAUUGGGAAUGUGUAUUUCCUACCAGGACAA